UUAUCAUUUAGAGGAAGGAGAAGUCGUAACAAGGUUUCCGUAGGUGAACCUGCGGAAGGAUCAUUGUCGCACCCAACGAGAAGGAGACCCGUGAACCAUGUUACCCAACGCAAGCGGACGCUGUGCUCGCCGCGGCACCGGUGCGAGGCCGGGCGCGGCAAGAGCGGUGCCAGCGCUCCGCUCGCCACGGCACCGGCGCGAGGCCGGGCGCGGCGCGAGCCUCGCCCUCCACGGCACCGGCGCGAGGCCGGGCGUGGCGGCGCGGGGGAAACAACCGAAACACCCCAGCGCGAUUGGCGCCAAGGACCCCAAGAGGAGCGGGGGAGGCGGACGGCCUCGCGCCUCCGCCCCCGUACCGCGAGAGAAUUCGAAUGGACGACUCUCGGCAACGGAUAUCUCGGCUCUCGCAUCGAUGAAGAACGUAGCGAAAUGCGAUACUUGGUGUGAAUUGCAGAAUCCCGUGAACCAUCGAGUCUUUGAACGCAAGUUGCGCCCGAGGCCUUCCGGCCGAGGGCACGCCUGCCUGGGCGUCACGCACCGCGCUGCCCGCACCCAACCCCGGGUGAGGGCGGAGAUUGGCCAACCGUGCUCCUCGGGGCGCGGCGGGCUGAAAGCUGUAUCUCGAUUGCCCCCGGCGGGGCGUCGGCACGGCGUUGGGUGGUCACCAGGGCUCCACGAGCCGAUGCGAUCGGACGCUGCGCACGUCGCCUCCCGGGGCGCCAAGGCACCCCUGAUUGCGACGCGACCCCAGGUCAGGCGGGGGCACCCGCCGAGUUUAAGCAUAUCAAUAA
rnacentral:misc_RNA from 1 species